UACAGAGGGUGCGAGCGUUAAUCGGAAUGACUGGGCGUAAAGGGCGCGUAGGUGGAUGUGUGUGUUGGAUGUGAAAGCCCCGGGCUUAACCUGGGAAUUGCAUACAAAACUGCACAUCUAGAGUAGAGCAGAGGUAAGUGGAAUUUCCGGAGUAGCGGUGAAAUGCGUAGAUACCGGAAGGAACACCAGUGGCGAAGGCGACUUACUGGGCUCAAACUGACACUGAGGCGCGAAAGCGUGGGGAGCAAACAGG
rnacentral:rRNA from 1 species